rnacentral:lncRNA from 10 species
GUACAGCAUUGAGGUUCAGUGUUUAUGUUCCUAUAAAAUAGGCACAGUACCUGUCUUGCACCUGUGUUGGUGAAUUGCUGUUCAUAAUAAUUUUAUAGCUUUAGGAAGUGGGCUGACAAGGGGGUAAAAUAUGGUAUUAAUAAGUUUUGUUUUUUCUUCCCCCCUUUUGGCAGAAUAACCAAGUGCUGGGAAUUGGAAGCGGUUCGACAAUUGUCCACGCUGUGCAGCGAAUAGCGGAAAGGGUGAAGCAAGAGAAUCUGAACCUCGUCUGUAUUCCCACUUCCUUCCAGGUAUGUCCUGCUUUCCAUCUGCAUCGUGACAGCUUCUGCUGUAUCUUCCGGUUCCCCGAGGUUGUGGACACAUGGCCUUGUCUUAUACCUCAAGGUUGUUCUAGGUCAGAGAGUCCAGGAAUAGGAGAGUUUAUUGACCAAGGAUUCCUUCUUGGAAUUGUAGUUUUAGGUGCAUUUGUUUAAUCCCUUGGUGA